GAGCCAUGCAAUUGUUUAAUGAAAUUUGAGAGCAGUGGAAGUUUAAGAGUUGUAGUACACAGUAUAACAACUUAAAUGUGGAUUUAUUUUUCAUAUAAAGUUAUUGAAUGGCUUUAGAAUAGUUGGUAUGUUGUACACAAAUUGUGUGGACCAGGGUUAUUUAAUUAACUAAAACAAACAAAAAAAAUGUAUUGAUUGAUAGAUUAAUUUUGGGUGAACAAAUCCCUUUAAGGUGUCAGAUAAAUGCACAGUUUAGGCAGUUGCUUCCACUCACACUGGAAUGGUCACAUUUCAUAUCUUGGGUGGAAGGAAAUUGGUAUGUUUAGCGAUAUCAUACCUCCAUUCUAACCCUCAGUUUCCUUCUCUUUUGGCUAUAGGGGCAAUGGAAAAUGCUUGACCACCAGGGUAAGCUGGCUGUCAGAAUGGAAACUGCUUGGUGCAGCAAGUCAGUGACUCAGAAAACUUAACUAAGUUUUUUCUCCUCCUCCGCCCCAUCCCCCCUCCUUGCACCCCCCUCCAUUCUCUAUCUCUCUCCUCCUCUCUCGCUCUCACACUGCCUCCUUUUCGUCUCCCUUGAAAUUUCUUUGAGAAGAUUAUCCGCAGCUUUGGGAUUGCUGCUGCUCUUGGGAAGAGAAGAGAGAGAGAGAGAGAGCGAGGGACUAAUAUUUAUUUACCCUGCUCUCAGUCAGUACUGUCAGUACGAGAACGGAAGGACAGAGGGAGGCUCAUCAAUUAGCCCUUAUGUCUUCAGGGAUGAGCGGUGACACAGAGGAGUUGCCAUAAAUAUACAUCAAGAGAGAAUAAUGUAUGAAUGUUGAGAAUGUGUGGUACAUAUAUACACACACUCUACCAAUCAAAGGUUUGAGGUCAGUGCUUUUUUAAAAGAAAUUAAUACUUUUAUUCAGCAAUGGCACAUCAAUCUAAAGUGACAGUAAAGACAAUUUAUUAAUCAAAUAAAGCAUAAGUUUGCUCAAAAAUAUCAAUCAGCUCAAAAGUUUUCAACAAUGAUAAUACUUGUUGUGACCCUGUACCACAAAACCAGUCAUAAGGGUACAUUUUUUGAAAUUGAGAUUUAUACAUCUGAAAGUGCGAUUUGGCCACAGACACUGGAAGAGUAUCAGAAUGAGUUCUUUUAAUAACGGAGGGAAUCAAUCUGUUUUAGUGUAAUGAUUAAUUUUAGGGCAAAACUAGUUCACUAGCUAAAUAAGAGUUACACAGAGAGGGUUUUCUUAUUGGCAGUGUCUCAAUUUACUCUCUUUCUCGCUGUACUGUGAGUAGCAUCCUUUCUCUCUUUCUCUUUUCUGUCUCUCUCAGAGGAGCAUUUUCUGGGAGCGAGUUGCAUGUCUUUCACCCAUAAACGAAUGGCUACAAAGAUGCUGUCUCAGCAUGGUCUGCCCCACAGCAAAAAUCAAAAUAUCAAUAACCUCUUAUAGCAUUAAGGAAAAUGCCUAAAUCUUACGCGCUCUUUUUUUUCUCCUCUGUCUUUUUGCCAAUAUCACUCAACCACUUACACUUGGCGCGAGCCCUGCUGGAGAUUUUACGUACACAUUAGACAGUCGCUCCUCUCUCUCUUCUUUUUAUCUGUGCAGGUCCAUUUAUUGGUAGCCUAGCCUACAGGUUCAGUUGUAAACAUGCACAGAAAUCAUUCAUUUAAAAAAGAAAAAAAUAGCUGAAUAUUAAUCUCUGUAUAUACAUGAGUGAAACUUUAAAACUGAAUUUUGCAGAAAUUCUUUUUUUAAGAAUUUUAAGUUGAGAACUGCACCCAGUUAUAUAUACAAAUAAAUAUGUAUAUAUAUUGUGUCAUAUGUAUUGAUGUUCUAUCCCUCAUCCGCAUUUGAAUAGUUAAUAGUUUACCUGGAUAAGGUGAUUGUAAAGCAAACUAUACUUCCCAUAGUUGCUUCUUGCUGUUUCAGCUGAUAUUUCCUCCGCACUGGCGCCUGUCAUUUCAGAGAAUAGUGCAAUGAAGUAUUUAUAGAGCAUUUGAGGUAUUGCAUGCUAGUCAGGAUCUGUGAUUAAUGUUCAUUUGAUUUAAAAAGUGAAAUAAAAUACUUGCAUUGUACAAAUUAAAACAUGACACAUUAUUUUCAGUAAUACUUAGUAUAUAGUACAAUACAAUAAACCACAACUGUGGGUGCUUGAUUUUUUUUCACAACUUUUAAUGUUACUACAUGUUAUUACAUUGAAGUAACAUUGUUACUACAUUUUGAUUAUUAAGCCCAACAUUUCUUUUUUUUUUCCAGUGAUGAAUCUCUAGCAAUAAGA
ensembl:lncRNA